UGGGGAAUAUUGCACAAUGGAGGGAACUCUGAUGCAGCGACGCCGCGUGAGUGAUGAAGGAAUUCGUUUCGUAAAACUCUGUUCUAUGGGAAGAAAAGGACUGUACCAUAGGAGAAAGCUCCGGCUAAAUACGUGCCAGCAGCCGCGGUAAUACGUAUGGAGCGAGCGUUGUCCGGAAUUAUUGGGCGUAAAGGGUGCGCAGGCGGCUUUACAAGUUGGAUGUGAAAUAUUGUGGCUCAACCACAAACGUGCAUCCAAAACUGCAAAGCUUGAGUUAAGGAGAGGUAAGUGGAAUUCCUGGUGUAGCGGUGGAAUGCGUAGAUAUCAGGAGGAAUACCGGUAGCGAAGGCGACUUACUGGACUUAAACUGACGCUCAAGCACGAAAGCGUGGGGAGCAAACAGG
rnacentral:rRNA from 1 species